rnacentral:rRNA from 1 species
UGGGGAAUAUUGGACAAUGGGCGAAAGCCUGAUCCAGCCAUGCCGCGUGUGUGAAGAAGGUCUUCGGAUUGUAAAGCACUUUAAGUUGGGAGGAAGGGCAGUAAACUAAUACCUUGCUGUUUUGACGUUACCGACAGAAUAAGCACCGGCUAACUCUGUACCAG